GAUUCGGAUAGUUGAGAAUAAAUUUUAAUAGAGCUUGGGAUGACUUUAAGUUUUUGGGAAUAUUAAUCGGAAUCCGAUAAGGUGAUUUUGCCAGGUACCCUAUCCGUUACUAUCUCUAGACUCAUCACCUGUCUGGUCUAGCCCAAUUUUGAAUUAGAAUUUAUGGUUCAAGUUUUAAAGAAAGAAAGAAUCGGAAUUAAAAUUAAUCAGAUUGAUUUUAG
rnacentral:misc_RNA from 1 species